GGGGGUCGUCGGGCAGGUGCUCCGGCAGCAUGCUGCGCUGCAGGAGUUGCGCGGUGCCGUGCUGGUUCUCGAACCGGCGGGCCCGCUC
rnacentral:tRNA from 1 species